UUUNNCAAAAACAUCGCUCUUUGAACAUAUGAAAUAAAGAGUCGAGCCUGCCCGGUGAAUAUUUUUAACGGCCGCGCUACCCUGACCGUGCAAAGGUAGCAUAAUAAUUUGCUCUAUAAUUGAGGGCUGGAAUGAAUGGUUUGACAAGAAUAAAGCUGUCUCUUUAUAAUUUCUUAAAAUUUAAUUUUUAGGUGAAGAAGCCUAAAUUUUAUUAAAAGACAAGAAGACCCUAUCGAGCUUUAAAAAAAUUAAUAGAUGUGAAAUAAAUAUAUGCAUAAAAAUUUAACUAUUAAAAUAUUUUAGUUGGGGCGACUGAGGAACAUAAAAAGCUUCCUUGAUAAAAUAAUCAUGUACUUAUUUUGAUCCAGAAAUUUUGACUAAGGAAAUUAGUUACCGUAGGGAUAACAGCAUUAUCUUUUUUGAGAGCUCUUAUCGAAAAAAAGGUUUGUGACCUCGAUGUUGGACCAGAAUGUCCUAAAGAUGCAGAAGUCUUUUAGGGUUGGUCUGUUCGACCAUUAAAAUUCUACGUGAUCUGAGUUCAGACCGGCGUGAGCCAGGUCAGUUUCUAUCUUUAAUUAUUUAUAUUAAGCUUAGUACGAAAGGACCAGUUUAUAUAUAUAUGAUAUUUAAAAUGAAGAAAUAUAAUAAGAAAGUAAAAUUAAAAUCAAAUUAGCAAAAACAAUGCAAUUGAUUUAGGUUCAAUAGACAUAGGUGAAAAUCCUUUAUGUGAUACUCAUAAUGAUGGCAGAUAAAGUGCAUUAGGUUU
rnacentral:rRNA from 1 species